UCCCUCCAGAUUCCUUGCCCAUACGAUCUGAACACAGGUCGGAGUGGUUAUAAAAGGAGGAAAUGUAGAAUUGAAACUGACUUCAAUUAUUGUGUGGCACUAGAGCAAGUUUCAAACAAAC
ensembl:snoRNA